UUCCAAAAUGAUCCUAAUAAAAGAUGCGUUACAUAAACUUCUACAUUUUACUAGAAACUUCCGUUGUAACUUUCUAGGACGUUCCAUUCGAGAGUGUUCUAGAAUUUUCCGUGACAACUAUAUAUAUACAGACACUAAAGUUAAACUCUCAGACUUAGAUUUAGACUUAGACAUCGAUAGACAUUAGUAUUCACCGCAUUUGGAUUGACACUUUAAUUCUACAAACA
rnacentral:lncRNA from 1 species